AGAAUUCUGGAAUGUAAGAUAAUUUGGACAAAGACAGAAGCCAAGUGGAACUCUCAGAGCACUGUAUGUCCUUGUAAAGUGGUUGGACUGAGUCCCAUGAAGCCAGAUCACUUCUGACUGCAAGGAGCUUGGAAAAGCAAGUAUCUGGAUCUUUUACCAGCUAAAUUUGGAGCGAUGAGGCUUCCUCUUUGAAGAUCACAGGUGAGAAGAUUAGGUGCUUUCUCAGAAGCCCAGCAACCUGAUGGGAGUGUGGAGUGAGCAAGACCCAAAUCGGAGCUUCAUCCCUGCAUGGUUCAUUUUGCUUAUUUGGCAAACUUGCCCUGCAGAAUCUACUCAAGCUUCCUCAGUUUCUCAAAUCAUUCUUGGGCAACAAAUGAACAAGAAAGAGGACGUCUUAUUAUCUGGUGUCUGGCUUGCUGAUUUAAUAACCUAGGAGACAGUGUUUGAAGAACACAAACUCUAAAGUCCUUCACUUAAAAAAAAAAAAAAACUUUCCCAAAUUGCUUACCAUUUGGAAAAAUUGCCUUACCUUCUUCAGUCAUCUCUGAUGUUGUCAUCCUCAGAGUAAGAAGUACGCAUUCAUAAGGAACCAUAACGUCCUUCAGGAAAUCCAGUACACCCUACAAUUUUACCUAAAACUUUGAUGUUGUUUUUUCUGAGCAUUUUACCUUCUAGGGAAAUGGAUCUCAUGCUGUUUAUCAGUUUCUGAAAGUUGUUAUUAAUCUCCCCUCAUCCCAAAAUUGAAGAACUUUGCUUAAAUCUUAGAAUCAGAACUUUGGCUCCAGUAAUAAAGACUUUUCAAUAUCUUUAUCUGCCAUUGAGUCUUACCUAACGAAAUAAAGCCUCCAAAGUGGGAA
ensembl:lncRNA LINC01091 long intergenic non-protein coding RNA 1091